rnacentral:rRNA from 1 species
UACAGAGGUGGCAAGCGUUGUUCGGAAUUACUGGGCGUAAAGGGCGCGUAGGCGGCCUUCUAAGUCAGACGUGAAAUCCCCCGGCUUAACCUGGGAACUGCGUCCGAUACUGGGAGGCUUGAAUCCGGGAGAGGGAUGUGGAAUUCCAGGUGUAGCGGUGAAAUGCGUAGAUAUCUGGAGGAACACCGGUGGCGAAGGCGGCAUCCUGGACCGGUAUUGACGCUGAGGCGCGAAAGCCAGGGGAGCAAACGGG